rnacentral:lncRNA from 1 species
AUGGAAGCAGCGAAACUAUAAAACCAGCGGCGAAAAUAGGAAAAAACCAGUGGCAGAACAUGAACAAAUUGUAGUGAUGACACUACAAAGAAGCACAUGUGGUGAUGCUUCAAAGUCACUGACUGCAACUGCAGGACGACACGACGUUAACGAAAUUCUUGGAUGCAAAAUGCAAUGAUUUGGGAGACAUGAACAGAACCUGAACAGAACCUGUGAGAGAAAAAGGGAACCUCUACACCGAUGCAAAGAAGGAGAAGAAGCGAAAAAUGAUGAGCGUGAAAGAACAAAGUAAAAAAAGCCUAUAUAUUGCAUACGAAUCGAUGCAAUAUAUGUAGCUUGCAAUAUAUUUUUACAUUCUUUUUAAAUAAUUACGUGAUUCAAGUGUUCGUAUUACAUUGAUUUUUCAUAUGAAUCAAUGUAAUAUGUAGCAAGAAUUAAUUUUUUACAUUUUUUAAAAUAAUUAUGUGAUUUCUAUUCCUCUAAUACAUGGUUGUUCAUACGAACUGAUGUAAUAUGUCGGGUGAUAUAAUUUUUUUAAAAUAAUUAUAUGAUAUUUAACCGAUAUAGUAUGUGAUUGUUAUUAGAAUCUAUACGAAAAUUAGGAUAAAAUAAAUAUAUUGACUUUUCUUUAUAAUUUGUGAAGAAAAAUAAUAUAUAGUCGAUUAUAUGAAUGGUAUAAUUGUAUAAUUAAACUUUCUUUUUUUACUAGUAAAUAUUUUGUAAAUAAAAAAUAUUAAAAUAAUAAAUAAAAUUAAUUCAUUUAAAUUUGAGUAUCAAGUAAAAUAAUUUAUUUUAUAUAUUAUUAUAAAUUAUUUUUUAAAUAUACUAUCAAAUUUUGUGAAUUACAUUUAUCACUUCUAUUAUAAAUUUUCUAUUCAAAUUCACUCUUUUUCUUCCAAUCCCAAACAAUUUUAUUUUUGCUUUCUUUUCUUCCGAUCCUCACACCAAUCCAAACAAAUGAGAUAGAAAAUUGUCUUUAUUCUUUUUUGAAUGAUGAGUUCAUUAUAAGGACAAGGUCCACCGAUCCAUAUAACUCCAAAAGAGAGUUAGUUUAAAACAAUACAAACCACACAAUAUUCACCUCUCCAUACAACUCCAAAAGAGUGAGUUUAAAACAAUAUACUCCACACAAUUUUCACUACUUCCCACUUUAAUAUCAUCUAAUUAUAACUAAUUUCAUUUUAUGUUUUAUGAACUUCCCUUUUAAUUUCACUAUCUUAUUCUCUUUGUUUGGAUCAUGCGCAACAUACACUGCCUCUCAAAAACCUUCCGUUGAAGUUCAAAAAUUCGGUAAGGAGUUGAUGCCUAACUUAGAUGUUGGAUUUAACCCUCACCCUCCUCUUUAAUAUUCCUACAACCUAGUAUACAUAUUAGGUCAAAUGAUGUAUUAUUCUGUUUGCUUUUAUUUUAACAACGUUAUACAAUCAUGCAUGGAAUUGUUGUCUGAGUUCCAGAUGCGUGUUUUGACCAUACAAUUCCUCAUUUCCUUUGCGAUAACAACUCUCUCAAAUAUAAUUCCACGAAUUAAAUUUCAAACAAUACAUUUAUGAGAACUAUUAUACAUUUCUAUUGUUCUUUUUAUAUGUAAGAAUUGAAAACAGAGAGUUACAGCAGUGUGUUUUACAUGAUAGAUUUUAUGUACAAGAGUGAUUAAAAUAAAUAUUAAUAAUUAAAAUACACGAGAUUUUAAAAUGACAACUUUAAUAUUCUUUUUAUCAUCAUUUAUAGAAGUUAUAAGAAUUUUUUUUUAUUAAACAUUAUAAACUUACUCACUAUUUAUAUAAUAAAUAUAUAAUCUCUCACGUAAAUUUGUAGAUUUAGUGUAAGAAGGUGUGUUAAAAAUAAUGCAUCAACUAAAUAAAAAAACAUUUCAUAUAAUAUAUAAGCUCAGGUAAAUAUCUAUCUUAUAAAUUGAUUAUAUAAUAUGAUUUUUUUUAUAGAUAAAAAAUUUGAAUUAUAAUUUUAUCUAACUUUUAGUAUUGUGUAUAUCGUUUUUUUUAUAAAAUUGAAUGACAGUGAAAUGGUAAACAUAUUAUAUAAACAGAUAUUUGAGCAGUGAUUCCCAACCUAAUCCACAGUGAUGCACAUCUUAAGGCUUAUCUAAUAUUUACCUUAUUUAAGCAAAUCUUGAGUGAGUCAUGGCUUAAUCCAGAGUUUAUUUAGUGUUUGUUUUUCAACCAGAUCCUUGAGUUAAGUAUGGGCUAAUAAGAAGUAGGAGAGGCCAAAAUAAUUAAAGUAUGUAUAUGUAUUCUCUCUCUCUCUCUCUCUUUGACUGGGCAUAGAAUUCAACUCAAAGAUGAUCACUGUUUCCUUGUUUCUGUGUAUCUGAAAAAAGGAAACCGACAAUGGCAAGGAUUUGCAGAAAGUGCAGAUAGUUAGUUCCAUUUUGCAUCCUCCUUUCAUUUUCAGUCAAAAUCUCUCUAGGUGUGUGUGAAUCCAGAUGGCAAAAUAAUCACAGAGGCGGCAACAGCAACCACAUAUAUAUUUGUUUAUUUAUUGGUAGAGUUUUAUUUUUGACUUUUUGUUUAUGAUACUUAAGUUGUUUAUGAAUUUGGGAAGAAUAAAAAGAAAGAAAGGUAGUGGUAGUGGAGCGUGUUUAAUUAUGUGUAUGCAUGGUGGAAGGUAGAGUAAUAGAGGCGCAACAAGGUCACUGUUGCUGUGGGGGCUAGCCAGCUCCUCAUCAUGUUCCAUUUCUCUUACCCAUCCUUAUAUAUACAUACAAUAACGUGUUUAACUUUCUUUCUCAGAACGAAUAAUCAACUGGAUCGGAUCAAUAUACAAACCUUCUAAUCACACGUGAUUAUUAACGGUGGCGCAUCAGAGGGGAUUAUCUUCCGGUUCGGGAAACUUCGCGGCGGAGCCUGGCGGCGAAGAGGACGC